rnacentral:rRNA from 1 species
CCCUUAAGCUGAUUUGGUUCUAGGAAAACGCUCUGGAAAGAGCGGCCAUAGAAGGUGAUAGCCCUGUAUCUGAAAGGGCCAUUUCAGUGAAGACGAGUAGGGCGGGGCACGUGAAACCCUGUCUGAAUAUGGGGGGACCAUCCUCCAAGGCUAAAUACUACUGACCGACCGAUAGUGAACCAGUACCGUGAGGGAAAGGCGAAAAGAACCCCGGAGAGGGGAGUGAAAUAGAACCUGAAACCGUGUGCGUACAAG